GCCUUACACUUGAUCUCUGAAAUCUCAGGUAAGUUUCCUGUAGACAUCUUGAAUUGCUGAUGCC